rnacentral:lncRNA from 1 species
AUGUCCUGGGGAGAGAGGACGGGUGACCCGGGUCAGUCGGACCCCCUGCGCCAGCCUGCCCGGGCUUCCCGGCCUCCUCGCCUAGCUCCACGGGGGCAGAGGGUCUCAAGGCUGCAGGGGACACAGGGAACCAGAAGUCCACCCCCCCGGCCCCGGCCUUACCGUGUCGCCGCCCGACGCGAAGGAGAUGGACUGCAUGUGGUGGUUGGCAAUGAUCUGGCCAGAGAGAGACACGCGCAGUCACGGGGCCGGGUCGGCUGUUCACUAGGCCAGGGCCGCAAGGAGGGCCCAGGGAGGGCGGAGUGGGCAGUGGGCACCGGGGACCAGGAGGGCGGCGGGGUGGGGAGCCCCCUCCCGGGCCGAGUGCGGAGGCCACAGCCAGCCUCACACAUGCACACUCCCGAGGCCCGGACACACACACACAGGGACUCACUCAGACCCACGCACAGGGCCUCCCACGUUGAAUGCCCAGAGACACAACCAGUGCCACCGACCCCCAGACACACUCGAGCCUGUCUUCACACCCUGGCACAUCGCGCUUCGGGCCUCAUGUCCACUCACACGGACACUGAGGUGUGGCACACUCACCUGGCACACCCAGUGGAGCCAUGCAGGGGUGAGACCUGCCAGAGGCCCCAGUCUGCACACCGCCCCGUGUGCUCGUUUGCAUGCUCAUUUUUAUUAACUUGCUUAUUUGCAUGCUCAUUUAUUCACUUGCUCAUUUGCAUGCUCAUUUAUUCACUUGCUCAUUUGCAUUUGUGCACUCACACACAUAUUCACUCAUUGCAGACUUGCUUGGUGUGCACAUUUGCACACUUGUUUCCAAGGUCAUUUGUGUGCCUGCACCAUUCGCCAGCCCCUGAGUGGACCCGUUGCUGCACGAGCCACACAGCAGCUGAGGCCCCCGCACGGGCUCCCUCCUUUGCACCUUCACAGCCACAUGUCACAGCACUUCCCAGGGUCACGGCACUGUCUGGACACAUCCCAGCUUCUCCCCAUGAGCCUCACUGA